CCCAGUUCUGCCUUUGGUUUUGUCCCAAUUUCUGCCUUAAAAGUUUUUUUAAAAAGUGAUGUGCCUGUCUGACUCUGAGCGGCUGUUCCAAGUAAUAAUUAAACAGGUUUAACUUUCUACAACGUGUUCCUCGGAUAAUCCCAAACACCAAAUUGUCUGCUGUUGGAUUAUAGAGGAAGGAGGUACUCAUUUGUGAACGGCAAACUCCCAUUAACACCAACGUAGUGACGGAAACUUGUUGGUCCCGCUGGCGUUCUGUCGUUAAAGCUUAAAUCCAGGGUUCACGGGUGAGGCUGGGAUGUGCGGCAGAUUCGGGAGAGCGGUGGCGGAGUCGAGUCUGUCAUUUUUGCCUAACCUCGCAGUGCCUUUUAAAUUUCCCCACUCGCCUCCCAUAUCCUAAACCGUCAGGUCCAGUGUAAUGACAGACACCAAACUGGAAUGCAAAGGGAAGAAAAAAGUUUUUAGGUUUAUAUUUCUGAGUUAUUUACCCCAGUUUUAAUGUCUCUGAAUGUGCGCGGCUUCACUGAAUUUAGCCUUGCUCGCUACUCCCAGAUUUGCCUGGUUUUUAGGACAGAAGUUCAGCAUAGUUUAGCUUUCGCUGUCUGUCCUGAGGAGCAAGGCCAAUUCUGUGUCCGAUCGAGAAUUGUAAACUCGUUACUGUACAAGACGAUGCCGUUCAGCCCAAAGGCUCCAUGUUGGCUCUUUACAUUAAAAAUAAAUUAUAUUCAUUCAAAAUAUAUUUGGGUAACACAAAGCACAGGUCCUUCUUCUGAACAAAAGAAAUUCUGCAGAUACUGGAAAUCUAGAGCAACGCGCUCAAAAUACUGGCGGUACUCAGCAGAUCGGGGAAAACGAACUGUGGACAUUUUGGGCCAAGAUCCUUCAUCAGGACUGGAAAAAGAAUGGGACAGAUGCCAGUAUAAGAAGUUUUGUUCAAGCUAGAAGGAGGAGGAGAAGAUGGCGGCGCGACACAGCGCCCAGCGGCCACUCCAGUGAUGAAUAUCUGUAAUCUGUCAAGUGGGGUGCCGUGCACAAUUCUGAUUUGAUGGAGACGGAUGUGAGAGUACAGAGGAACAUCUGGUGAAACUUCUGAAAUUCCUGCUUCGCUGCCACUGAUACUGUGUGGUCCUUUCUGGAGGGGAAGGCCCCAGAUCCUUAGCUUUGCUUGUUGCUCGACGGCCGGGGCAGGUUCGAAGUGCUCAGCAGAAAUGGUGCUCGGUGCUCGGUGUCGGAGGGCUGGUCGGAGGCUCGAAGUUUUCGGAUGGACUCAGUCGGACUGUGGUCGGGUGCUUCCAGGAUGCUGCAUCGGCAAGUUUGCAGCGCUGGAAGCUCAUGGCAGGAAGAGUUUCUCCCUUCUACCGUCUGCAUGAGAUGAUGGGGCUAUCGGGACUUUGAGACUUUUUUUACUGUGCCCAUGGUCUGCUCUUUAUCAAAUUACGGUAUUGCCUUGCACUGUUGUAACUAUAUGUUAUAAUUAUACGGUUUUUGUCAGUUUUAGUCUUGGUCUGUCUUG